GAGGCUCCCACGGCUGCCUGGUGAGAAGCUGCAGGCCCAGCUUCCAGCCUCGGCUCUGUCCUCACAUCCAUUGCUCCUCUCCCUGGGCCUCCAUCUCCUCCUCGGCUCACAGCGGGUAGGAAGGGAAGCAUGCUGUCCACCUCUGAGAACUUUCACCAGCCAUGAUGAAAGCUAUGAAGGAAUGGGAUGCUACGACAGAGACGACUGACAGGGAUCCCGUCUUCAGAGAGGAAAACACUACUGUGGGGUCUGUCCCAGCCUCCAACGUUUCACAACUUAAACUGUAAGGUAUAUACCCAGGAGAGAAACUGCUGGGUCAUAUAUCAAUAAUAACUCUUGUUUUAGUUUUUUUGAGAAAACCCCAUACUGUCUUCCACAGUGGCUGCACCAAUUUACAUUCUAAGGUGGGUGUUUCUUAACACACCCCACCCCUACCCCAGCCCCAGCAUGCCGCCACCAAUGUGCUCUGUGACGUGGGACAAGCCCCUUCGCGGCCUGGGUCUCAGUUUCCCCAUCUGUCAAUGAGAACAUGACGGG